rnacentral:rRNA from 1 species
UGGGGAAUAUUGGACAAUGGGCGCAAGCCUGAUCCAGCCAUGCCGCGUGUGUGAAGAAGGCCUUUUGGUUGUAAAGCACUUUAAGCGAGGAGGAGGCUACUUGGAUUAAUACUCUAGGAUAGUGGACGUUACUCGCAGAAUAAGCACCGGCUAACUCUGUGCCAGCAGCCGCGGUAAUACAGAGGGUGCGAGCGUUAAUCGGAUUUACUGGGCGUAAAGCGUGCGUAGGCGGCUUCUUAAGUCGGAUGUGAAAUCCCUGAGCUUAACUUAGGAAUUGCAUUCGAUACUGGGCAGCUAGAGUAUGGGAGAGGAUGGUAGAAUUCCAGGUGUAGCGGUGAAAUGCGUAGCGAUCUGGAGGAAUACCGAUGGCGAAGGCAGCCAUCUGGCCUAAUCCUGACGCUGAGGUACGAAAGCAUGGGGAGCAAACAGG